rnacentral:rRNA from 1 species
GAUGAACGCUGGCGGCGUGCCUAACACAUGCAAGUCGAACGGGGUUCUAUGUCGGAAGUUUUCGGAUGGAAGAGAUAGAACCCAGUGGCGGACGGGUGAGUAACACGUGGGUAACCUGCCUCAUAGAGGGGGAUAACAGAGAGAAAUCACUGCUAAUACCGCAUAAGCACACGGGAUCGCAUGAUCCAGGGUGAAAAGAUUUAUCGCUAUGAGAUGGACUCGCGUCUGAUUAGCUGGUUGGCGGGGUAAAGGCCCACCAAGGCGACGAUCAGUAGCCGAUCUGAGAGGAUGGCCGGCCACAUUGGGACUGAGACACGGCCCAGACUCCUACGGGAGGCAGCAGUGGGGGAUAUUGCACAAUGGAGGGAACUCUGAUGCAGCAACGCCGCGUGAGUGAAGAAGUAUUUCGGUAUGUAAAGCUCUAUCAGCAGGGAAGAUAAUGACAGUACCUGAAUAAGAAGCCCCGGCUAACUACGUGCCAGCAGCCGCGGUAAUACGUAGGGGGCAAGCGUUAUCCGGAUUUACUGGGUGUAAAGGGAGCGUAGACGGCGAAGCAAGUCUGAAGUGAAAAUCCGGGGCUCAACUCCGGAAGUGCUUUGGAAACUGUUUUGAUAGAGUGUCGGAGAGGUAAGUGGAAUUCCUGGUGUAGCGGUGAAAUGCGUAGAUAUCACGAAGAACACCGGAGGCGAAAGCGGCUUACUGGACGAUAACUGACGUUGAGGCUCGAAAGCGUGGGAAGCAAACAGG